ACGGUCGGAGUCAGGAGGAGGGGACACCUCCGAGCUGUCUCCUCAUUCACACAGGCGGGGCUCACACGUGCCCUCUACCGGCCAGACAGUGCGCACACAGCCGCUGCUCUCCUGGAGCUGCCGGACCACUCAAUCCAUGCGUAAUUCAGCAAUCAGGACUCACUCACAUUCCUCCUCCAAGUGUGGAGCAAGCCGGCAAGGAGCAGCCGUGUCGGCGAUCGUGUCCUCUCACCCUCGACAGCACGCCAAAGGGACAGAGGGCAGGUCGAAGACUUUAGAUACAACACACCUAAAAGUAUAGGUAGGAUUCAAGUUGCAAUAAAGAAAGAAGAGUUGCCAGUUAACCCCGCAGCUGGGGGUUAACGCUACGACGGCGCUGUCGACAUGGAUAAAGUUAUCAAUUGCUUGUUUGCUGCAAUAACCCUGCUGUUGUCCGUCCGAGGGGAAGUUUUUAAAGGCGAUUGUAACUUUGAGAAGCCGCUGGCAGCAUGUGGAUACAGCCAAGGCAGAGACGAUGACCUUGACUGGGAGCAGGCCAAUACUAGAGAGAAGUCUUCAUCAGAUCCAUGGAUGCCCUCAGGUUCAGCCUUCCUGAUGGUGAACACAUCGGGACGCUUUGCAGGGCAGAAGGCCUUACUGCUGACACCCCAGCUGAAGGAGAAUGACACCCACUGUGUUAUUUUCCACUACUAUAUCGGAGGCAGAGACAACAGCCACCCAGGCCACCUAAAUGUCUAUAUCAAAGAAAACAACAGCCCCAUGGGGAUGCCUGUUUGGAACGUGUCAGGUCCAGCCUCUCGUUCCUGGGGACAGGUAGAGCUGGCCAUCAGCACCUACUGGCCCAACUUCUACCAGAUUGUGUUUGAAGCCGUAACCUCAGGGCAGCGUGGUUUGCUGGCCAUCAAAGAUGUCAUGGUCCAGGGCCACCAGUGCAUGAACACACCACACUUCCUGACUAUAAAGGGGGUAGAGGUCAAUGCUGGACAGACUGCAUCUUUUCACUGCACCGUCAAUGGACGCAAGAGAGAUAAUUUCCGCCUCUGGCUUCAGGGAAUCGGUGGACGGGAGGCCCCAAUGAAAGCCACUAAACCUUGGAACAACCGGCGCUUCAUUGGCACUUUUGAUGUGGAGAACACAACCAAGGGCGACUCGGGCCGCUACCGUUGUAUCGUCCACUCAGACAAAGGGGUUGGAGUGUCCAAUUACGGGGAACUAACCAUAAAACAGCCCCCAGUUCCUAUUGCACCCCCCCAGCUCACUGCUGUCGGUGCCACCUACCUAUGGAUCCAGCUGAACGCAAACUCCAUCAAUGGGGAUGGCCCAAUCAUCGACAGGGAGGUGGAGUACCGCACUGUGUCGGGCACCAUGUAUGACCUGCAGCCUGUAGACAAGACCACACACAAGAUCGGCCACCUGGACCCUGACACAGAGUAUGAGAUCAGUGUUCUGCUGACCAGACCUCUGGAGGGAGGCACUGGAGCACCUGGACCCCCUCUGAGGGCCAGGACCAAAUGUGCAGAGCCCAUGCACGGACCACGGAAGCUGGAAGUGGUGGACAUCCAAUCCAAACAGGUGACAGUGCGUUGGGAGCCUCUGGGCUACAACGUGACCCGCUGCCACAGCUACAACUUAACCGUCCAGUACCGCUCCAGGGUGGGCGGCAAAGAAGAGACCCGGGAGGAAGUUUGUUAUGACACCCAGAGCCGCGAUCCUCAGCACACCAUCCACAACUUGACGCCUUUCACCAACCUCAGUGUCAAGCUGGUGCUGCGUAACCUGGAGGGUGUCAAGGAGAGCACUGAGCUGGAAGUUCAGACUGAUGAGGAUGUGCCAGGGGCUGUUCCUCUGGAGUCCAUUCAGGGCAGUGCCUAUGAGGAGAAGAUCAUCCUGAAGUGGAGAGAACCUGCUCAGACCUAUGGGAUUAUCAUUCAGUAUGAGAUCUCCUACAAGGCGGUGAGCUCCUUUGACCCUGAGCUGGACCUCUCCAACCAGAGUGGGAAGGUAGUGAAGCUAGGAAACGAGACCACUCACAUGUUCACAGGGCUCUACCCGGGCUCUACAUACUCCUUCACUCUGCGCGCCAGCACAGCCAAGGGCUACGGCCCCCCUGUCAUCACCCAGUUCACCACCAAGAUCUCAGCUCCUUCCAUGCCUGCGUAUGACCAGGAGACCUCUCUGAACCAAACAGACAGCACAGUCACUGUACUGCUUAAACCUGCCCAAAGCAGGGGUGCACCUGUGAGUGCCUACCAGGUGGUGGUGGAGGAGGAACGUCCACGCAGAGCACGAGGCACAGCAGAAAUCCUGCGCUGCUACCCAGUUCCCAUUCACUUCCAGAACGCCACGCUCCUAAACUCCCAAUACUACUUCACUGCUCAGUUCCCCGCCGCUGGUAUCCACUCACCCCAACCCUUCACUGUCGGGGACAACAAGACCUAUAAUGGCUACUGGAAUGCCCCUCUGCUGCCCCAGAAGAGCUACAGCAUCUAUUACCAGGCUGUCAGCACAGCCAACGGGGAGACCAAAAUCGACUGUGUUCGAGUAGCCACCAAAGCCGCCAUACUCGUGACUCAGCUCACAACCCCCUACAUCCGCAUCGCCCCAGCGGCUGGUGACAACCAACUAACAGGAGCUGCCACUCACAAACCUGAUGCUGUGGAGCCGGAGAAACAAACGGAUCAUACGGUGAAAAUCGCCGGGGUCAUCGCUGGCAUCCUCCUGUUUGUCAUCAUCUUCUUAGGAGUGGUACUCCUGAUGAAAAAAAGAAGAACCUAUCACUCCUACACUUACUACCUGAAAUUGGCCAAGAAGCGUAAAGAGACACUGAACAGCACCCGCCAGGAGAUGACAGUGAUGGUCAACUCCAUGGACAAGAGCUACACGGAGCAAGGUACCAACUGUGACGAGGCGCUCUCCUUCAUGGACACACACAACCACACGCUGAACACCCGCAGCGAGUGUGCACUCACACUCAACGGCCGCAGUGAGUGCACCCUCACUCUCAACGGCAGAGCGGGAUCCUCGCCUUCUUCCUUCACACUGCCUAAAGCCAACACUCUCAGCACUUCCAUCCCCACCAACUCAUACUACCCAGAUCCCUUUGUGCCAACUGCCAUCUUAGAUGAGAGCCAGAACAUGGGCAGUGACACCAGCAGCCUGGUGCAGUCACACACUCACUCGCUGAGGAAGCGGGAGCCCGUUGACGUGCCGUAUCAGACAGGUCAGCUGCACCCGGCAAUCCGCGUGGCAGACCUCCUCCAGCACAUCACCCAAAUGAAGUGCGCAGAGGGCUACGGCUUCAAGGAGGAGUACGAGAGCUUUUUUGAAGGACAGUCUGCGCCAUGGGACUCUGCCAAGAAGGAUGAGAACCGCAUGAAGAACCGAUAUGGGAAUAUUAUUGCAUAUGAUCACUCCCGUGUCAGGCUGCAGGCCCUGGAGGGGGAACAGAGCUCCGAUUACAUUAAUGCAAAUUACGUUGAUGGCUACCACAGGCCAAAUCACUACAUCGCCACUCAAGGCCCCAUGCAGGAGACGGUCUUCGACUUCUGGAGGAUGGUCUGGCAGGAGAACACGGCAGCUAUCGUCAUGGUGACCAACCUGGUGGAAGUGGGCAGGGUGAAGUGCUGUAAAUACUGGCCUGACGACACAGAGAUCUACAGAGACAUCAAGGUGACGCUGAUAGAGACUGAGCUCCUGUCAGAGUAUGUCAUCAGGACCUUUGCUGUAGAGAAGAGAGGGGCUCAUGAGAUCCGAGAGAUCCGACAGUUUCACUUCACGGGCUGGCCGGACCACGGUGUGCCCUAUCACGCCACAGGCCUGCUGGGGUUUAUUAGGAGAGUCAAGUCCAAGACCCUAACCAAUGCUGGGCCCAUGGUGAUUCACUGCAGUGCCGGGGCCGGUCGCACAGGCUGCUUCAUCGUCAUCGACAUCAUGCUGGACAUGGCAGAGCGAGAGGGUGUGGUGGACAUUUACAACUGCGUGAGGGAGCUGCGCUCACGGAGGGUCAACAUGGUCCAGACUGAGGAGCAGUAUGUCUUCAUCCAUGAUGCCAUUUUGGAGGCAUGUCUGUGUGGCGACACCACCAUUCCUGCCAGUCAGCUCCGCUCUGUCUACUAUGAUAUGAACCGCCUGGACCCGCAGACCAACUCCAGCCCCAUUAAGGAGGAGUUCAGAACUUUGAAUAUGGUGACUCCCACGCUGCGGGUGGAGGACUGCAGCAUCGCCCUGCUGCCCAGGAACCACGAGAAAAAUCGCUGCAUGGACGUCCUGCCUCCAGACCGUUGCCUCCCCUUCCUGAUCACCAUCGACGGGGAGAGCUCCAAUUACAUCAACGCUGCCCUCAUGGAUAGUUACAAGCAGCCUUCUGCAUUCAUAGUGACCCAGCACCCACUGCCAAACACAGUGAAGGACUUCUGGAGAUUGGUGCUGGACUACCACUGCACGUCCAUAGUAAUGCUCAACGACGUAGACCCAGCCCAGUUGUGCCCACAGUACUGGCCAGAAAACGGAGUCCACCGCCACGGACCUAUCCAAGUGGAGUUCGUCUCCGCGGACUUAGAGGAGGACAUCAUCAGCAGAAUAUUUCGGAUCUACAAUGCAGCGCGGCCACAGGACGGCUACCGGAUGGUGCAGCAGUUCCAGUUCCUGGGCUGGCCCAUGUACAGAGACACGCCCAUGUCCAAACGCUCCUUCCUCAAACUGAUUCGACAGGUGGACAAGUGGCAGGAGGAGUACGACGGGGGCGAGGGACGCACUGUGGUCCACUGUCUGAAUGGAGGCGGUCGCAGUGGGACAUUCUGUGCCAUUAGCAUUGUGUGUGAGAUGCUUCAACACCAGCGAUCUGUGGAUGUUUUCCAUGCUGUCAAAACACUGAGGAACAAUAAACCCAAUAUGGUGGACUUACUGGACCAGUACAAGUUUUGUUACGAAGUGGCGCUGGAGUACUUGAACUCUGGGUAACUCGGAGCUACUGUACCCACCAGAGACUUAAAGUUUGGGACAUUACAGAAGACUACAGCUCACAUGUGUGCAUUGUGCUAAGUGUGUGUGUCACCGACCCGACAGGAACAAGCUGGGAAAGACGACAUUAGGGGGACAUCUGCUGGAGAGAUGAGUGACACCGGUGGCCAUUAAGUGAUCUGCAGUCAGCAAUUGUGUGCGUGUUCGCCCAUCAACAAGAGCAAGUAGCAGUGCGACACUAUUGCAGUGACACCGGUGGCCAUUAAGUGAACUGCAGUCAGCAUCCUGUUGCUCGCAAUCGUGUGCGUGUUCGCCCAUCAACAAGAGCAAGUAGCAACGCGACACUAUUGCAGCAACCCUCUUCUUCUCACUCUGACACACUGAUUCACAGCUGGAAAGCUCCCCAGUCUUACUGAAAUCUGAUCUUUUGGCCAAUGAGCAGCUCCACUGGAGCAGCUUGGGGGUUAUGUCUUGCUCAAGGGCACAUCAAUGGAGGUAAAUGAGGAAGGAACAGACACACACAUCCUGCUCGGCUAUGGAUCGAACUCGGGGCUACCUGCUGUGAUGUUUGAAACACUGACAACAAUAGAACAAUUCCUGCUCUUUCUGCUGUGCACAUUCACAUGUGGGAGCUGCCCAGUGUUAACAAAGAUUUGUGUAGUUUCCCACUGAGCAGAUACUCCAGAGCAGAUGGGUUCAACCAGCUUCAUUAAGAGCAGUUCAGUCGCACGCUUGAUGAAAGAAUCAUUAACUUUCACAGCCGUAGACCAAGGAUUAAUACCAGCAAACUUCUAGUCACCCUCAUGCUUAUAAGCCUAACCCAAAACACUUGGAGACUGCCUGCAGCACUGUUGGACUUUUAAAAAAACUGUUGCAGUACCUUAAAGUCUCUCUGGAAGGAAGGAAUCUUUGGAACAUCUUCAUGGAAGAUGAAGGUUACCAUCUUUUCCCUUUUGCACAAUGUUCCAGCUGGUCAGAGCUACAGGCGCUGUGGCACCAGGGAUGGUUUCAUAUUUCACUGCAAGACUGGUGGUGAAUUAUUCCUCUGCUCACACACGGAGGCCAGGGGAGGAUGAGUCGGAGUGAGGAAGGGAGGGAGAUGGAGGAAGCUGGGAGGUGCUCCUACUGCUGGGAGAGUCCAUACCAGAUGUCCAGGAGCACAGGGACAACAUAUGGACACACAAACACACACGCACACACACACAGCCACACAGUCAUUUGUAGCACUCACAGUGAAAAGAAAAUGAAAUUAAAAUUAAUGGGAAAAAAAUUACAAAUACUUGUCAGAGUCUAUACCUGUCAUUCAUUUGAGCUCAAAUAAUUGAUAUAGAAAAUAUGUAUAACUAUAUAAACAGUGAUAUAUAAAGAAAAGACUGUCAUAUAUCUAAAUAUAGGAAUUAAAACAAAUCAUUCAAUACUUAUUAUUUGCUCAGGUUUAUACACAUCAUAUAAAUAAAUAUAUAGGCCAAAAAAAGAAUUUUAAAAAAGUUAAUUGAAGUUCAAAACUUCAUUCCACAGCUUCAAUGACAAUUUGACAGUGAGUUUAACCUACAUCCCAAACAUCAUUUUACCAGAAUCAAGUUUCCAAAAUGGCAGUCAUUACAUUAGGGAAUUAAUUUUUUAUGAGCUGCAACUGAGAGCAGUAAGGUUGCUGCAGAGGCAUUAGCCUUGAGCACGGCUUUCAUGGCAUUAUAUGUCCAGGAGAUGGCAGUGUAGAGCAGGAAACACACACACAAUGCCAGUUAAAGGCAACAGCAGGUAGUGAAGACUGUUAAGACUCAAUCUACCUUUAAUCACUGCUUGAAAGCUCACAUUCAAGUCAUGAACAUAUUUCCCUGCAAAACUGAAGAUUUCAUGAAACUUAUGAGUUAUUGAAUGUGUAAUAGGACUUGAUGAUGAUAUGGGCAGAUAUGUCAAGUUUGUAUUCAUACAGCAAAGGUAUGUAUUAAAAUGGCAAUGAUUCAGCA